CGGUUGAUCCUGCCGGACCCCACUGCUAUCGGGGUGGGACUAAGCCAUGCAAGUCGAAGGUCCCCGGCUCCGGGGGCCUGGCAGACAGCUCAGUAACACGUGGCCAACCUACCCUAGGGAGGGGGAUAACCCCGGGAAACUGGGGUUAAACCCCCAUAGGCGAUGGGUUCUGGAAGGACCCAUCGCUGAAAGUGGUGCAUGGGGAUGCUCCAUGCACCAGCCCUAGGAUGGGGCUGCGGCCCAUCAUGGUUGUUGGUGGGGUAACGGCCCACCAAGCCUAUAACGGGUACGGGCCCUGGGAGGGGGAGCCCGGAGAUGGGCUCUGAGACAAGAGCCCAGGCCCUACGGGGCGCAGCAGGCGCGAAACCUCCCCAAUGCCCGAAAGGGUGAGGGGGUCACCCCGAGUGCCACCCUCGUGGUGGCUUUUGCCGGGUCUAAAAAGCCCGGCGAAUAAGGGGAGGGCAAGACGGGUGUCAGCCGCCGCGGUAAUACCCGCUCCCCGAGUGGUGGGGACUAUUACUGGGCUUAAAGCGCCCGUAGCCGGCCGGGUGUGUCCUCCGUUAAAUCCACGGGCCUAACCCGUGGGCUGCGGAGGAUACUACCCGGCUUGGGGGUGGGAGAGGGCGGCGGUAUUCCCGGGGUAGGGGUAAAAU
rnacentral:rRNA from 1 species